GCCCAGCCUUCCUCCCUCCUCAUUCCCCUGUCUUCAUUCCAGAGAGAAGGGGUUGGGGGAAUUUCUGAAUAACCGCCCCCAGCUCCUCAAGAGGGCCCUAGUUUCCACACUAUUCUCUAGGUCCUUGUCCACUUCUGGACUCUUCCCUGUGACUCAGGGCCUAGACUCUCUGGGAAUGGAGAGGGAGAGGAAUGUGGCACAAGGGAGCUGACUUGGGGGCUAUUUCUGACUCUGGAGUCAUCAGCUGCUCAGUCACAGACGAGGGUGGCAGUGAGGUAGGGGUAUCACAUUUGCCUCCUCUUUGCUCCCUGGAAGAGCCUGAGGGACCUGGUGGGCUUCAGAGAUGCGGGCACUUGGACCGGUAUGGAGGGAAGUUGGGGAACACCCACAGCUCAUACGGAAGAGGCUUCCUGGAGGGGGAGAUGGAAAAAAGAGACCACAUAGGAGACUGUACUGAUGCGUUUAUGACCGGAUGGUAGAAGACUGUGCCACCCCGAGAUGUGCCACUUCAGCACAAGGAUUACUUUGAGCUAAAGUCAAUUGGGAAGGAACACACAAGAUUUCUUUCUUCCCUCUUCCGGGAGGAAAAGCAGCGAAGACAUCGCCACACCCCUAUGGCCUGCAGAGGGCGCCAGAGGACUCUGACGACCUGUACCACCCGGAAGACACGCUCUUUUCCUGUCUUGUCACUACCCUUAUUGUUCUUUAUCCGUGUUGUCGGAGUUCUAAGCCACCUCUUUGAGAGUUACUGUCCCUAGGUUUUUCUCUCAUGUACGUUUGAAUGUAUAUGUUAA
rnacentral:lncRNA from 1 species